UCUAGUAGCUCACACCACCCUUUUAGUUUCGUCUUCUACAAUCUACAGUUUGUUUGGUGUCUCUAUCGGAGACUUGCCUCGAUUGACUCCCCAUGAAAAAAACUGUGUCAUAUCGGGUUACCCUUCAGUUGAAUAUUUGGGGUUUUAAAUUCACAUAAGUAGGAAAUUCAAGUUUUUUCUACGAACACUCGGAAGUUUGCGGUAGCGAAUAACAUAGGUUGACAGUGUCAUGCCAUGAUUGCAUCACCUUUAUUACGCCCAAACCACACGUUGUUCAUAGAUCCUGUCGGUAUGGAUUAAGAAUGAACGAGAUGCAAGCGGAAUUUGUGACCCAAAUAAUUUUUACCGUGCAGAUGAUGCUGUCUAUGAAUGGAUUUGAAACUUUAAAAAUGUUGCUGCAUCAGCAAAUUUAAGUCUACUGUGGUUGAUAAUAUCACUGCGCAGGGCGUCUUCAAAUGACAAGCCUUAGUGUCUCAACGCAUUGCACCACCACGUGAAAGAGAAAGAACUUGAAACAGCAUAGGACCUUAAUAGGAAAGAAAUUGAGGUCACCAAGAAAUAAGAGAGGGAAAACAGAAAAAGGGGAAAAAAAAAGUUAUCGAGAGGAAAAGUUAAGAUCCGGGAUCUCUUUUUUAAAUUCCUUUUACCUGUAGUAUCUACGUCAGCAAAGCACUCUAGUGUGUCUCGCCUUUAUCCUACCCCUCUUUCUUCCCUACCCUCAGUCCAGGUCGCUUUCAUCUUGCACGUGGACUCACUUUCACCGGAAUUCCCCCAGUAGGCCUACACCCGAUUGCGUUUCAUGAUUUAACCAGAUGUUUGUAAGCAUCUUAGGCCUAUUCUAUGGUGGAUGUUUUUAAACAGUUUUAGCGCGUUAGUUCUUCGCUUGAUAAUUUUAGAAAAGGAAUUUACGUGCCUUGCCAGUAGCAGCGUUUCAGUAUUAGAAAAAUGUGUUCGUAAUUUCACUACAAGCAUGUUUUCAAUGGACUAACAUAAGGAUGUUAUCCUGAUGUGUGGUAUGCGAUAAAACAGUUAAAACUUGGAAGUCUUAAAGAUGAAUAACUCGCAGAACAAUUUAUACACCUGAUGCCCUUUUUGCUGUCGAACAAGAAAAAGAAGAAAAUUGAAGUAACGAACGGAUUGAGCACAGUUACUAAAAUCAAAAUUAAGCGAAUUUCAGCCUGAGUGCACAUGCAUAUACAAGCCAAACAAACAAAGCCUAAAGCAGUUGUAAUUCGGUAUUUGUUUUGUUAGCGCAGUUAUCAGGGUUAUUGUUUUUCACACAAUUUGCAGGACAUGGCUUUGGAAUCUUUUGUUUCGUAUCGAACACUGACGUCAUCUUGAUCGUCUCUUCCCAUCAGUGAUUGCACAACUCUGUCUCGUUCUCCUUCAUUUUACCAUUGACCUUUUCACGAAGCGAAUCAUGGCUCAGCAAAAUUAAACAAAAUCGAGGCUAGCUUGUACAGGUUUAAAAUCAUUAAAAAAUCAAAAUUGAAGGAAAGUGGAGGAUUAAACAUUAUUAUUACUUCUGCUUUCACUAAUGGGUAAUUUUUAUUAACUACUCUUCGUUUGUUGUUGUUGUUGUUUCUUGUUACAAUGUGUUUCUUCACAUUGCUAAGAUUGCUCCAAUUGUCCAAACGAAUUAACAUCUCACUGGUACAGUGUAUCAGUAACCCUGAAUAGAAUCAGAAUCGAACUGCCAAUGUCUAAUUGCCACUGCUAAAAUACGCACGAACAUUCAAAUUAAAGAAACAUCCGGACUGUUUCCGCAAAUCCUUGAAAAGUUUAGAACAAACGAGCUGAUGCAACUUCUACUUUAAAACAUUAUCCUCGUCAAAGUCUUGGAUGCAUUGACUAAUGUAUGGCAUCAAUUGAAUCCAAAGGUAUAAGGGAUGUGACUAAUUUAAACAAUUUUAAACCUCCUGUAAAGUAGUAUGCAGUAGACUGAAUAAGCCAAGCGAUUCGUUAGGAGAAAAUAAAUAACUUGUCGCUUUCUCCUCUUUUCAGUCUUUUAUGCGCAGUAAAAAGAGAACCCGGAAUAGCUCUGAGGCAUGUCUAUCUACCACUUUUUUGGGUCAACAUUUCGGCUGCAAACGCAGGAAUAGAAGGUUCAACCCACUGCGCUCUAAUGGCUUAGGGUUUUCCCCUUUUGGACCGAAUGUGGCAUGUCAUGUCCGAACAUGCCUGCCAUUAUUCAUCUCAUGCUUUGAAUGUUCAUUUUAAAAAAUCAAAUGAAAUAAUUGGAACUAUAUACCAGAGAUAAGCCAUUUUUUUCUUAAGUAAUUAAACUAGAUUUCGUUUAGUAUAAUUUCAAUGGUUAAAUUUCUUUAUUAUCUGCCAGGAUAGAUGCACUUAGUUUUAGCUACUGAGUUCUAUUUCACGAAAAAAGUGAUAAACAAAAUUAUAAUAAUUAGUUCACUCUAAAAACACGUUUGGUAGGAUACGCAAGCAACACUCAUUCCAUCAGGGACCUCGAAGUACUGGCUCAACUAACAGUUUUAUUGUGUUUGACCAUCGAAACCUGAGAAUUUUUUUUGUACGGUACACAACGUAUAGCGGUAUCUAAUGAAACCGCAUUAUGUUAUGCCCACUAUCGAGGCGACCAAAACCCAUCCUUUUUUCAUUUCAUUCUCAGAUAUUUUUUUUUUUCUUGUGAGGUUGAUCGGGUUGGAUCAAAAUUCUCACCCUGCGUUGUUUUCGCCGUUAAUACGUUUUCUGAAAUGUCUUCUGUUUUUUCUUUUAGAAAACUUAUUUUAUCACAUACGUUGACUCGCGUUGACUGACGAACGGCUAUACAUCAACUAAUCCACCCAUCGGAAUAUCUAAGGGAAGCCAUUUUUUUUUUCCUUACAGAGAUGGAGAUGUACUUAACACUGGGAACUGAAACGUUCCACUAUGUGGAUUUUUAGGUCAUGCACGUCUAAAAAAUGGGGAGGUGAACGAACGUAGCGAGCAGCAACUCAUUGCUUGACUACGGAAAUGGGACAGGCAGCCUUGCGAGAAUACAAACUCUAGCACACUGUUAUGUCCCAUUGAAAAACGACAGAAAAAAACCCAAAAGGAGACAAAGAAAACAGCAAAAGAAUCCAAAAACCAAAUUGCAAUCAUGAUUUUUAAAAAAUACACGCAAUAUUUAAUUUUCUGUGUGUAGAGCAAAAGAUGCUUCAACGGGCUAGGAUACCUAGAACUGACGACAAUUCUGUCUCUUACAUGUGUGCUUUUUUUGUAAAUCUAGUUGCAUUAGAGUAAUAACCAGGAAUAUUUUACGUACCAAUAUUGAUAGUUGAAAUUUUCCAAAUAAACUUUUUCACUGAU